GUCUUUUUGAUUUUAAUUUAAAGUUUAACCUGCCCAUUGAAAAUUUUUAAAAGGCUGCGGUAUUUUGACUGUACAAAGGUAGCAUAAUCAUUAGUUUUUUAAUUGAAAACUUGUAUGAAUGGUUGAAUGAGAAAUUAACUUUUUUAAAAAAAUAAUUGAAUUUUACUUUUUAAUUAAAAGGUUAAAAUAAAUUUAAAAGACGAGAAGACCCUAUAGAGUUUUAUAAUUUUUAUUUAAUAUUUAAAAAGAUUAAUUAAAAUUUUAUAAAAGAAAAUAUUUUGUUGGGGUGAUAAUAAAAUUUAAAUAACUUUUAUUUUUUUUUUACAUUAAUAUAUGAAUUUAUGAUCCAUUAUUUAUGAUUAGAAAUUUAAAUUACCUUAGGGAUAACAGCGUAAUUUUUUUUAAAGUUCAUAUUAAUAAAAAAUUUUGCGACCUCGAUGUUGGAUUAAGAUUUAAUUUUAGGUGCAGCAGUUUAAAUUU
rnacentral:rRNA from 1 species